AAGCGGCUGAAUUGAUUCUUCGGAUGAUUUUCAGUUGACUGAGCGGUGGACGGGUGAGUAACGCGUGGGUGACCUGCCCCAUACCGGGGGAUAACAGCUGGAAACGGCUGCUAAUACCGCAUAAGCGCACAGAGCUGCAUGGCUCGGUGUGAAAAACUCCGGUGGUAUGGGAUGGGCCCGCGUCUGAUUAGGCAGUUGGCGGGGUAACGGCCCACCAAACCGACGAUCAGUAGCCGGCCUGAGAGGGCGACCGGCCACAUUGGGACUGAGACACGGCCCAAACUCCUACGGGAGGCAGCAGUGGGGAAUAUUGCACAAUGGGGGAAACCCUGAUGCAGCGACGCCGCGUGAGCGAAGAAGUAUUUCGGUAUGUAAAGCUCUAUCAGCAGGGAAGAUAAUGACGGUACCUGACUAAGAAGCCCCGGCUAACUACGUGCCAGCAGCCGCGGUAAUACGUAGGGGGCAAGCGUUAUCCGGAUUUACUGGGUGUAAAGGGAGCGUAGACGGCAAGGCAAGUCUGAUGUGAAAACCCAGGGCUUAACCCUGGGACUGCAUUGGAAACUGUCUGGCUCGAGUGCCGGAGAGGUAAGCGGAAUUCCUAGUGUAGCGGUGAAAUGCGUAGAUAUUAGGAAGAACACCAGUGGCGAAGGCGGCUUACUGGACGGUAACUGACGUUGAGGCUCGAAAGCGUGGGGAGCAAACAGGAUUAGAUACCCUGGUAGUCCACGCCGUANACGAUGAAUGCUAGGUGUUGGGGAGCAAAGCUCUUNGGUGCCGCCGCAAACGCAUUAAGUAUUCCACCUGGGGAGUACGUUCGCAAGAAUGAAACUCAA
rnacentral:rRNA from 1 species